AUGUGGUUUCGUGUAUUCUCACUUUGCUACCCUGCGGUUUAAAACGUAUCAAUUUACCCCCCUGUGGUUUCAUUUUUAUCUUUUCGGAAGCUUUUUCGUUAAUAUUUCGUUAAAUUAUAUACAAAAAACUUCAGAUAACCAUCUAUAUUUAUCGAAUAGUCACUUUAGUAUCCUUUAAUUUUAACUUUGUCACUGAUUUAAAAAAAAAAUAAUAAUAAAAUUGAUAACAAAAAGAUAAAAACGAAACCAUAGGGGGGCAAAUUGAUACGUUUUAAACCACAGGGUAGCAAAGUGAGAAUGCACGAAACCACAGGGGGGUUUUUUGAAGUUUUCCCAUAUUUUUUUGUGUAUAAUGACUAUUUUGACCUUAUCAUGGUAAACUAAAGCUAUUUGCUUUGAAACCUAUAAUAUUUUUAGGGUAAACUUAAAAUACCACACCUGUAGUUUCAUACGUUAUCACUUUAAUAUUUUGUAGUUUAAAGUGUAUUAAUUUAGUACUAUGUGAUUUCAUUUUUUUCUUUUCGUCAGUCCUUCUAUUAACUUUUCGUUAAAUCAUAUACAAAAAACUUAAGAUACCCACCUAUAGUUAUCGAAUAUUCACUUUAAUACUCUUUAAUUUUAAUUUUGUUACUGAUUUAAUGAAAAAAAUUAGUGAAAGAGAUAACAAAAAGAGAAAAAUAAAAUUAUAGGGUAUGAAAGUGAUACAUUUUAAACCCCGGAUAUGAAAGUGAGAAGUGCGAAACCGUAGAAUGGUAUUUGAAGGUUUUUCAUAUUUUAACUUACUG
rnacentral:lncRNA from 1 species